rnacentral:snRNA from 1 species
GCGUUCACUUCGGCAGCACGUACACUAACUCUGAAUGAUUCAGAGAAGGCUAGCGUGGGCCCUGCCCGAGGGUGACACGCAGAUUCGUGAAGCGUGCCAUCAUUUU